rnacentral:rRNA from 1 species
AACGAACGCUGGCGGCGUGGAUUAGGCAUGCAAGUCGUACGAUCUUCGGAUAGUGGCGAAAGGGUGAGUAACGCGUGGGUAAUUUACCCCAAGGCUCGGAAUAACACUUCGAAAGAGGUGCUAAUACCGGAGUGUUCCCGGCAACAUAAGUUGUCAGGAGGAAAGGCGGGGACCCGCAAGGGCCUGUCACCUUAGGAUAAGCCCGUGUCCUAUCAGCUUGUUGGUGAGGUAACGGCUCACCAAGGCUAUGACGGGUAGCUGGUCUAAGAGGAUGGUCAGCCACACUGGGACUGAGACACUGCCCAGACUCCUACGGGAGGCUGCAGUCGAGAAUCUUUCGCAAUGGGGGAAACCCUGACGAAGCGACGCCGCGUGAGCGAUGAAGGCCUUCGGGUUGUAAAGCUCUGUCACGUGGGACGAACGCCGGAGAUCCAACAGAUUGAAGGCUCGACUGUACCACGAGAGGAAGCCACGGCUAACUCCGUGCCAGCAGCCGCGGUAAUACGGAGGUGGCUAGCGUUGUUCGGAUUUAUUGGGUGUAAAGGGCGUGUAGGUGGCUUUGUAAGUCGGAUGUGAAAUCCCUUGGCUGAACCAAGGAACUGCAUCUGAAACUGCAUAGCUUGAGUGCAGGAGAGGAGAACGGAAUUCCCGGUGUAAGGGUGAAAAUCUGUAGAGAUCGGGAGGAACACCAGUGGCGAAGGCGGUUCUCUGGACUGCAACUGACACUGAAAUGCGAAAGCUAGGGGAGCAAACAGAAUUAGAUACUCUGGUAGUCCUAGCCGUAAACGAUGGGUACUAGGUGUAGGUCCGCGAGGAUCUGUGCCGCAGUUAACACGUUAAGUACCCCACCUGGGGACACGGCCGCAAGGCU